rnacentral:sRNA from 1 species
AGCAGCCGCGGUAAUUCCAGCUCCAAUAGCGUAUAUUAAAGUUGUUGCAGUUAAAAAGCUCGUAGUUGAAUUUCGGGAUUGGCGCAUCGGUCGUGCCUCACGGGGUAUGAACUGGUGCAGUCAAUUUCUCACCUUCUGGAGAACCGCGAUGUCCUUAAUUGGAUGCCGCGGGGAACCAGGACCUUUACUUUGAAAAAUUAGAGUGUUUAAAGCAGGCAUUUUUGCUUGAAUACAUUAGCAUGGAAUAAUAAAAUAGGACGGCAUGGUUCUAUUUUGUUGGUUUCUAGGACCACCGUAAUGAUUAAUAGGGAUAGUUGGGGGCAUUAGUAUUCAAUUGUCAGAGGUGAAAUUCUUGGAUUUAUUGAAGACUAACUACUGCGAAAGCAUUUGCCAAGGAUGUUUUCAUUAAUCAAGAACGAAAGUUAGGGGAUCGAAGACGAUCAGAUACCGUCGUAGUCUUAACCAUAAACUAUGCCGACUAGGAAUCAGACGAUGUUAAUUUUUAAUGACUCGUUUGGCU